UCCUCAUCAACACUCCCUCCCUGUGGUUGUGUCUUUAGCUAGUCUAAAUAAUAAAUUAGGCUUUUUUCUCCUAAUCUCUGAGGAAAACUACGUAAUUUUUAACAGUUUUUCUGGUGUGUGAUUCUUCACGUACGAAUGUGGUAAAUGAGAAUGAUUUGAAAUGAUACACUUUUGGUGGAGACCUGGCGCUGCAGAUAUAUUUUUCCCUCUGUUGUUGUUGCUAAAGGAAAAAAAAUUAAAUAUAAAUGACAGAGGGCGAUUCACAGUGGCCAAAGCAUUUCCAGCCUCUGUUGGAGACAUGAAACUUCAAACGUUUUCUGGUGGAGAGAUGAAAUUGAAAACUUUUUCUGCCGUCUGAUGGGGUUACGCAGUUACAAACGUUUCCUGCUCUUUGAGGUAGACCUAGAGUUAUAAAUGGUUUUUGCCUCCAUCUAAAUUAUUUUUUGCCCUCUGAUGGAGAAUGAUGUUGCAAACUGAUGAAGAUAUCGGAUUGCAAAUGUUUUCUGCCUUUUGAUGGAGACUUGAUGGAGUCUGAAAAAUAUUUUGCCCUCUGAUAGAGACCAGCUGGACCUUCAAACGUUUUCCGAGUUCUGAUGAAGACCUGCUGGACCUACAAACAUUUUCUGAGUUCUUAAAGACCUGCUCAAACUGCAAA